rnacentral:lncRNA from 1 species
GCCUUAUUUGAAAUAGUUACAAAUGUUUCCCCUAGUUGAAUUUUGCUUUCAUUGUAGUCAUUUUAAUCUACAGACCAAACAACUUAGAUCAACAUUACAAUAGCUUUCUAUUUAGACCCCUUUCCUCAGGUGCUAAACAAAGGCUCCAAAAUGAAUACUGCUUUAGUAACAUCUCUUAUUCCUAAAAUGCAUAUUUCUUUUACUAAUUGUAAAGAUUUGGUGUUAACAAAAUGGUUUUAAUAUGUAAAUAUGAACGAAUACCUUAAGUUCUUCUUGUCUAUUAAGUCUGUUUGCAUUUAUCUUUUGUAGAUAAUUUUUCACAAUCUUUAAUACAUUUCAUUAGGUAUUGCAUCUUUAGAAUGAAAACAACUGUUUUGUCUUAGAUUACGCCUGCUGCUGCUGCUGCUGCUGCUGCUGCUGCUGCUGCUGCUGCUGCUGCUGCUGCUGCUGCUGCUAUGGGAAACUGAAAAUCAAGAAUGUGAUGCACUUUUUAACAUUACUAUAUACCAUAGGUUGCUUUAAUACCUUUUUUUGGUAGCACAGCCACUAACAAAAGUGAACAGAGUUUAUUAUUCUCUUCAGGAGUGAGUCAGUAAAGUAGUCUGUAGUUUGUGUUGACUUAUGAAGGGGACAGUAACUUAGGAAAUAAAUUUUUGGUUAAUAUUAUAUUUUGGCCUUAAAGUGUCUUCUACUACUGAAAAUAGUUAUAGCUUUGUUUCUAUUAUUCCCUCUGCUUCAAAAAGACUUGGGAAGAAUUAGAGGAAAUCAUUUCAUUUGUUUUUAGUUCUCAGUAAGCUGCGUUUUGUUUUUUGUUUGUUACAAUUUUAUCAGAGAAGUAAUGUUGCCCUGCACCUAUCAUAUUUAGUUUAGUUAACAAGCUCCCAACUAUUCUACUUCUCUAGUAUAUGUUCAAAGGUAAAAUAUAAGAAUGCUACUUGACAAAGUAAAAUAUCUUCGCAAGCACAUACUCAAACAUGAAGGAGAAAAAACCCAAAAGUAUAGAGGAAGGACACCAAAUGAGGUGGAGGAAUAUGAGAAUGAUGUGUGGUCCAAAGCUAUCUGGUUAUAUUUUGAUGUUGCCAAUAUUACAGAGCCAAAAUUUUAAUUUGCUUACUUAAUAUAUUUGUUGGCCAGAGAUCUAUUUUUAUAUCAGUGUGCCUUGCAUGUAUAUUAACUUUGGAAAGGCCAUGUAUUAAUGCCUGAAAUGUUGAUGGUUCUUACCACCUCACUGAUUUUUAUGCAGUUGAAAUGUUCAUUCUAUUGCCCAACUGGUGCUCUCUGUUUAAAGUUAUAGAUCUUGUCAAACUGGAACUCUUUUAUAAACUGGGGAAGUGACUUGCUUUUUCACUUAUUUUUUUUCCCUCCGUUUUUAGUCAGUUAGUGGCUGCUCUGUAGUGGGAAAUAGUAAAAAAGGUUCUUCACUACCUACCCCCACCCUCAACACCACCUUCAAGUAAUGUGAUAGUAUCGUUUCUUUGUGUGCUUUGAAAAAAUUUCAGCUUGCUGUCUCCUUUAGUGUUAUAAAAGGUAUUAUUAAAAGCAUUGUUUGCAAAAAAUACAGGAAAUGAUGGCUGUCCACGUUAAUUUGGGAUUCUUUGUGAGCUUUAUUCCAAGUUACUGGCUCAUUCCAACAGAUUUUAUUGUUGAAGCACCUUGCUUAGGGAUUUUAAAUAUUCAUGUCUACAACACUUGUCUCAAAAUAAUAAACUGUGCAAUUCUUGUCAUUAAAAAAAAAAAAAACAAAGACAGAUCUGAACUCUCCCUAAUGUGACUUGUUAGUUUCUGUAUUUCCUGCCAGUGUAAAUGUGAAAAGCUUUGCUUGCAUUACGUUUUAGAAAUGCAUUUUGCACACUCAGUUUGCCGAAGCUCCGUGAAAGGUUAGAUUUAAGUAGAUGAAUAAAGCUAUGCACAUGUUCUGAAAGUUUAAUCUGUGUGUCAUUACCAAAAGUAAUCUGUCAUUAUUUUGCUGUUCGUAGCUUUACCAUCUUUGGAAACAUGGUUCAAAGUUAUAAUUCUGGGCUAGCUCAUCAGUGGAACUAAAGGGAGGAAAACUGGCAACCACUGAAUAAAGUUCAGCUGAAGUGAGAGCUUAACCUGUCUGUAUCUGUUAAAGGGCUUUUCUUCAAACAGGGCAGUUGUAUCAGCUUUAUAAACCAUUGGAUCCAAUGCGCUUCUCAGUGAAAUUUUGAAUAUUUAUGAAAAAGAAAUGGAAAGUCAUUCAAACUAAAAUGAAGGAAAGACCUUUGCCAUAUGAAGCUCGGACAAUUUUAUGUCUUAAAGCUGGUUUAAAGGUAGGGUAGCAUUUUAUUAACCUUUAUUGCUUUAACAUGAAUUUGAUUAACUGGAUAGUUUGAAAUUAAAGUCAUUCAGUUUAAAAGUCAAAACACAAUUGUUUUAAAGAUAUUUUAAAAAGCCCAAGCUGAUGUGAGUGAGUUGAGAAGUUGGGCAUGUUUGGUUAAUUCACUGCAGUUGCAUGUACUGAGUAGUUUCACUUACAUGAGGUGUGCACUUACAAGGUUGUGUAGAUCUGCUGGCCAGAUGUUGUCAUUCAUCUUAUAACAGGAACUUUGGUGAUUUCCUUAGGACAUUCAUAGAUGAGUUAAGUAGAAGACAUUACCAAUGGUGUUUUCCCCAGGCUCCCAGAUAUAAGAUAUAUUUCAUUUUAUAGCUUUGGCUAUCUAAAAGAGGGUUACUUCACUUUCAUCUUGUUGACUUUGAAAAGACAGCAAAUUCUGUUUGUUCAUAGUGAUGAUUAUAACAAAACCUAGUAGAGUUUCAAAAUGUGGUCAGUGAUGCAUAAUCUUAAAAACAAAGGCAGUAGCAAACAGCUUGGAUGGAUUUUGAAUAUCUGUUAGUAGUUGAUUACAUCUGUAAUCCUGGCAACCAGAAGGCUCAAGCAAGAGGAUUGUGAGUUCAAAGCCAGAUUGGCCUGCAUGGCAACAACAUAGUAAAUGUAUUGGAGAACUAAAGUAAUCUAUUGUGUGCAGACAUUUAUUCAUGAACUGGGUUGCCUUUUAAUUUUGGAAAAGGAUAAUUAGUACAUUACAGUUCUGUUAGAAGAUGUUGGCCCUUUCCUGCUGAAAUUUUUUUCAAUACCUGUUUUGCCCAGUUUAAAAAAUAAUAAAAGUAGGUCUUUUCUAGAUAGAAGAACAGUGACCAGAAAUUUACUGUUUUGCUAAAUAACUAACUGCUUAGGUAUUUACUAAAGCCGUUGCUGAUGUUAUGAAUUCCAAGGAAGUGUCAGUUACAUGAUCUUCCUUUAUUAAUGUCUUACUUAAUGUUCAGUGUUUUAAAAAUACAAAAUUACACUCUACAACCAUACUCAGAUUUACUUAUUUUA